AUUUUUUAAGUCACAAUCGAUGCCCUUCUCAAAACAAAAACAUCUUAUGUCCUUUCAAGCUUUCUUUCGAUUGCCAAAGAAUUUAAUUUUGAGCAAAUAACUUCAAUUUGGAUCCAUCCUGUGAAUUCAAAAGACAAGUUUGCAUGAUAAUUGCUACUAGAUGGACUGUAUUGCUACUAACAUUACAUUGAAAUCUCAAAGGAAUCUUACCCUCUAGACAUGCCCCUAUAAUCGGGGCCAACACAACCGCACCCUCGCCUGAAGUUGUUGCCGAGCCGCUCGCCAAGCCGCCCCACCCGCUGACACCGCGCCCUGGACUAACCCCUCCAGCGUCGUGCCCUGGCCGGCCCCCUCCGGCGUCGCGCCCUGGCCGGAUCCAUUUGCGGCACCUCCGUUGUCCAUCCUUUUUGCCAACCCCGCUGCUACACGAGGAGCUCGAGUCGUCGUCACUAGGGUUUGCGUGAAUGAGAGAAAGGGGAUGGGUUGGGUUCUGUCGGGGGGGAGAGGCGACUAGUUCAG
rnacentral:lncRNA from 1 species